rnacentral:rRNA from 1 species
GACGAACGCUGGCGGCGUGCUUAACACAUGCAAGUCGAACGGAAAGGCCCUGCUUUUGUGGGGUGCUCGAGUGGCGAACGGGUGAGUAACACGUGUGUAACCUGCCCUUGACUUUGGGAUAACUUCAGGAAACUGGGGCUAAUACCGGAUAGGAGCUCCUGAUGCAUGGUGGGGGUUGGAAAGUUUCGGCGGUUGGGGAUGGAUUAGCGGCUUAUCAGCUUGUUGGUGUGGUAGUGGCUUACCAAGGCUUUGAAGGGUAGCCGGCCUGAGAGGGGGAACGGCCACAAUGGGACUGAGAUACGGCCCAGACGCCUACGGGAGGCAGCAGUGGGGAAUAUUGCACAAUGGGCGGAAGCGUGAUGCAGAAACGCCGCGUGCGGGAUGACGGCCUUCGGGUUGUAAACCGAUGUCGCCGGUGACGAAGCGUGAGUGACGGUAAUGGGUAAAGAAGCACCGGCUAACUACGUG